rnacentral:lncRNA from 1 species
UGAUGAGCAAAUAUCGCCGGUACCGUUCACGCAGGCACUGCAUGUUACAGGUAUGGAACAUUGAAACUUUCUUGCUUUCUAAUCAAACCUGAUUUCAAAUCUCCCCUUAUAUGAUAGUUGUCAGAAGUGAAUGUUCUGAUUCGAGGUUACCUCAGACAUAUAGGGCUUAUCAUUCAGUUAGCAUCUCAGACAGAGUGCUCCUCAGUGUUUCUUUCCCUCCUGCCUAGGAGGUGAUACAAGCUCUACAGCGAAGGUGAUUUAGGUCAGGACAAGAAGACACUGGGUCCGGGAUUAGCUCUACGUCACCUCUGGUAGGUUCUGAACUUAUUCUCCCAGGCCUCAUGAUUUAUGGCCUGAUGCAUGUCCAGUCCACAGUCCUCCCCGAGCAACCUGAUUCUUCACCUGUCUUAGUGUUCACUACCGAGGUAGUGAAACACCAUGACCAAAAGCUAGUUGGGGAGGAAAUGGUCUUUUCAGCUUACACUUUCACACCCUAGGCCAUGCCUGAAGGAAGUUGGAACAGGAACUUGCUACAUCCACUCCAGUAGUGACUGCCUGACAGGCCGAAAAGCCUGGGUGCGGUCCCCGGUCCCGAGGUGAAAAGUUCGCGGAAACUUAGUCUCCUGGAAUCAUGGCAUCCUGUAUAACGAAUGCUCCAAUGUCCUUGCUUCUUGCUUUAGUUGGUAAACGGAUCUGUGUGCUUUCCCUUAAUAUUGCUUUAUUAUAAGUGCUUAUAAGGAUUGAAUUUUUGACAUAUAGCUAAGUUAGAUUCUUCACCAGUUCUAGGCAGUCAGUCCUUGAGCUGACCCUGGGCAUAAAUAGCCAAGUCACCGCCCUUCGUAGGAAUUUACCAUUACCAAGGAAGAAGGAAGGUUGUGGUCUAGGGAGGAACCAGAGUAGAUACUUAGAACUAUAGAUAGCUGAGUUACACCCAUACACAGGAAUUUACAAUAGCCUAGGGGAAGGUGGACUAUACAAUAGACUAGAAUAGGAACUAUGGCAAGGGCACGUAGCCCCUGCCCCUGGCUUCUAAGAUUAAGCAGACCUUAGGCUGCUUUUGAUCUCAGUUCUUAACAUUGAAUUUUAUCCCAGCUAGUUCCUGCCAGUCCUUAGAGUUUGCAUUCCUCUGUUUUAUGUAAGAAUGCGGUAACCUCAUUGUACCUUGCCCUUGCCGGUGUGUCACCUAACUUCCCUAUUUUCUUCUGUAUAAAAAGUUUGAUGCUCGAUUUGAUAAAUUACAUUCAGAUCCACCCUCCCUUGUGUUGCCUCUGUUUGUCACCCUUCCUUCUCGCCAACUCUUUGCCCACCUGCAACCAGAAACCUAUUCCGUGCAGAUAGGAGACCCAAAAGAGGUUAGUCUGUGGCAGGAACUCACAUGGGGCAGGAACCUGGAAGCAGGAGUUGAUGCAGAGACCAUGGAGGGGUGCUGCUUAGUUGCUUACUCUCCCAUGGCUUGCUCAGCCUGCUUUCUUAUAGAACCCAGGAUCAUCAGCCGAUGACAGCACUGCCCACAUUGGGCUAGGCCCUCCCCACAUCAAUCAUUAAUUAAGAAAAUGCCCUAAGUCUUGCAGAGGUCUGAUUUUUUAAGAUCUCUGACUAUAGUCUCAUCCACAUCCUCUUGAGAUUCACAGUAAUGUCCUACCUAUCAUUCUAUUUGAUUCGGGGCUUCCCUUGGGCCUGCUUGUAUGUUUCCCUUACAGAUUGCUGGCCAGAAUGGAUACAGACUUCCUCCACAUCUUGCAGAAUCUUCAGUUAAAGUCGAGAAAGAAGGCUUUGCCCAUCUUGGAUUUCUGGUUGCUUUCUCCACCUGGACUCUGCUAAGGGAGGAAGCAAGGCGAGAUCCAGACCCCCCACAUAAGAUUUUGCUUUCUUCUCCCCUUUGAUGUCCUUUUCCUGACUCCAAGAAAACUCCUUCAUCUUCUUGUGUGGCUAAGCUAAAUGAGUUUUUCCCUUUAUUUCCUCCCUCCCAGAAGCAGUGAGCACAUUCUGGGUUGUUUAUGGAUAAACUUUAUCUUCCUCCCUUAUGUUUUGGCUCAUGAUAAUUAAAUCCACACUGUUGGGAUUCAGAAAGUGCUGUCUUCCCUAGGUGCCACAACUCUCAUUUCAGCAGUUGAUGCUCAAGGCUUUCUGGCUCUGGUUUAUGUCUGGCUUCUUCUUUGUAGCGAAUGAAAGAUGUCAGAGCUGUUGGAGUAGUGGGAGGAAACAGAAUGGGAAAAGAAAAUGAAGGCGGGGACGUUCUCCUUGAUAAUUCAAAUAUCCACCUUGCUAAUCGUUUGUUGUUGUUUGUCUUUGUUUUACAUUGGUGGUACUUUGCUGGGUGAAGAGAGACUUUCAUGGACCUGAUGGUUUUCAGUACAGUCAUUGUAAUGAGUUAUUUCAUGUUUCUUCAACUCAUAGCAAUACUUUUGAAAGUUGGACCUGUGAGCUAAACUGGAAUGUACCAGGUUGUUUUUUUUUUCCUAAUUUUCAGAAAAGGGAAAUACAAAUAUCUCUAAAUUUUUUUCUCCUGUACAUUUUCUUAAAAUCCAUUAUGUUUGUUGUAUGUAAUAUCAAACCAAAUAAACAAAUGCUUAUGAAUUGAACCUG